GAGAUAACGAAUAUGAUAACAUAUACAACGCCAUGUGCAAACAGAGUGGUGUGCCAGUCUACAAAUGUAAAAAUGGGGUAUAUGCAGUUCCAGGAUCUGCUCAGAUGGAAAAUAUAGAACAACACCUUCCAGGAGGCCCUUCACUGAGAGAACAGAUGAAGAGCUACACGGUAUUACUGGGAUGCUUGCAAGACAACGAUUGCCAUGACAUGACAGGAGAAGGACUGAAAAACGUAUUUGAUGAUUUCGACUACAUUUUCAUCGACUGUCCUCCAGCACUUUCCAAGAACACUUAUAAUGCUUUGGUUGCUGCGAGCAAGAUUUUGAUUCCAGUACAGAUGGAAGCAUUAUCUGUCAAAGGAGUAAGUGAAGUACUCAGCGUAAUGGAUGAAGUGAAGGAGUUCCACAUGAACGAUAAUUUGGAAUUACUUGGACUCCUGCCAGUUAUGGUAGAUGAACGAACCAAGAUUACCAAGCAGUUGAGCAAACUUUUAGGCGAAAAACAUGGCGACUUAAUUCUGCCUUGCCGUAUCCGCGGUCGGAGCACAGCAAUGUGUGACGGCGUGCCUUUUGCAUAAUGAUCCUACGAGUUACCGUCACUGGCGAGGUUGAGUGUCACGAGACACGUAGCCGCAGUGAAAGCGAGCCUGAAUAGGGCGCACAGUCAGUGGGGGUAGACGCGAAACCAAGUGAUCUACACUUGGCCAGGAUGAAGUCCCGGUAACACGGGAUGGAGGUCCGCACCAAUAAGCGUUGAAAAGCUUCUGGAUGAGCCGAGUGUAGGAGUGAAAGGCCAAUCAAACUUGGAGAUAGCUCGUACUCCCCGAAAGGCAUUUAGGUGCCGCGUCGGAUGGUCACCGUGAGAGGUAGAGCGACCGAUAGGACAAGAGGGCUUCACCGCCUAUCGAGUCCUGACGAACUCCGAAUGCUCACGGUCUGCAGUCCGGCAGUAAGGGGGCGGGUGCUAAGGUCCGUCCCCGAGAGGAGAAGAAUCCAGACCGCCGUCUAAGGUCCCGGAGUUCUGCCUGAGUUAGUCUAACGAAGUCUGGUCCCUAUGACAGCUAGGAUGUUGGCUUGGAAGCAGCCAUUCAUUCAAAGAGUGCGUAACAGCUCACUAGUCGAGGGUCCGGGCAUGGAUAAUAAUCGGGUAUAAGGCAGACACCGAAGGCGCGGGAUAGCAUUAAAGAAAGUAUCGGUAGGGGAGCAUACUCACAGCGUCGAAUGGUGUACGUAAGUUAUCCUGGAGCGGUGAGUAAAGCAAAUGUAGGAAUAAGUAACGAUAAGGAGGGUUAGAUUCCCUCCCGCUGUAAGACCAAGGUUUCCCGGGCAAUGCCAAUCAGCCCGGGGUCAGUCGGGUCCUAAGUCUAAGCCGAACGGCGAUGGCGAUGGCAGAGACGGUUAAUAUUCCGUCACUGCCGCAUGGGGCGACGUGGAGACGGAGCAGUGAAACCACCGCGGGGCGACGGAAGUCCCCGUUGAAGGGUGUAGGCGUUGAGGAUGGCAGGCAAAUCCACCGUCCGAGCUGAACCUGACAGUACGGAGUCCUCCUCGGAGGAAUCUGAUAGUGUGGGUAAUCAUACUCCCGAGAAAAUCCGCUAAGCUUAACCCAUGCGGCACCCGUACCGCAAACGGACACACGUGGUCGGGUAGAACAUACUAAGGCGUUGAGAGAUUCAUGGUUAAGGAACUAGGCAAAUUGACCCUGUAACUUCGGGAUAAAGGGUCCUCGUGAUGAGCGAGGCGCAGAGAAUAGGUCCAGGCAACUGUUUAACAAAAACACAGGGCUGUGCAAACUCGAAAGAUGACGUAUACAGCCUGACACCUGCCCGGUGCCGGAAGGUUAAGAGGAGAUGUCACUCGCAAGAGGAAGCAUUGAAUUGAAGCCCCGGUAAACGGCGGCCGUAACUAUAACGGUCCUAAGGUAGCGAAAUUCCUUGUCGGGUAAGUUCCGACCUGCACGAAUGGUGUAAUGAUCUGGACGCUGUCUCAACCGUGAGCUCAGUGAAAUUGUAGUAUCGGUGAAGAUGCCGAUUACCCGCGAUGGGACGAAAAGACCCCGUGAACCUUUACUACAGCUUAGCAUUGACCUUGGUCAUCCGAUGUGUAGGAUAGGCCGGAGGCUUCGAAGCGGGAGCGCCAGCUUUCGUGGAGCCAUCCUUGAAAUACGGCCCUUUGGCUGUCUGAGGUCUAACGCGUGAUACGCGGACACUGCUUGGUGGGUAGUUUGACUGGGGUGGUCGCCUCCAAAAGCGUAACGGAGGCUUCCAAAGGUGCCCUCGGGUCGAUUGGUAACCGACCUCAAAGAGUGCAAUGGCAUAAGGGCGCUUGACUGGGAGGCAGACAUGCCGAGCAGGCAGGAAACUGGGGCAUAGUGAUCCGGCGGAUGUGUAUGGAAACUCCGUCGCUCAAAGGAUAAAAGGUACUCCGGGGAUAACAGGCUGAUCCCCCCCAAGAGCUCAUAUCGACGGGGUGGUUUGGCACCUCGAUGUCGGCUCGUCACAUCCUGGGGCUGGAGAAGGUCCCAAGGGUUGGGCUGUUCGCCCAUU
rnacentral:rRNA from 1 species